rnacentral:misc_RNA from 1 species
GGAGUAAAAGUCGUAACAAGGUCUCCGUUGGUGAACCAGCGGAGGGAUCAUUACAGGACUCGCAAGGCUCCUACAACCCUGUGAACUUAACUAUAAGCACGUUGCUUCGGCGGGUGUCUCGGAGGGGGUUCUCCCUCCCCGAGACGCUAAACCCGCCGGCAGCCUACUAUACUCUGUCUCUUUGCGUUGGCAUCUCGAGUACAAUCAAACAAGUUAAAACUUUCAACAACGGAUCUCUUGGUUCUG